rnacentral:rRNA from 1 species
UACGUAGGGUGCGAGCGUUGUCCGGAAUUACUGGACGUAAAGAGCUCGUAGGUGGUUUGUCGCGUUGUUCGUGAAAACCGGGGGCUUAACCCUCGGCGUGCGGGCGAUACGGGCAGACUUGAGUACUGCAGGGGAGACUGGAAUUCCUGGUGUAGCGGUGGAAUGCGCAGAUAUCAGGAGGAACACCGGUGGCGAAGGCGGGUCUCUGGGCAGUAACUGACGCUGAGGAGCGAAAGCGUGGGGAGCGAACAGG